GCCUACGGGGGGCAGCAGUGGGGAAUAUCGGUCAAUGGGCGGGAGCCUGAACCAGCCAAGUCGCGUGAGGGACGACGGUCCUAUGGAUUGUAAACCUCUUUUGUCGGGGAACAAAGGCGUCCACGGGUGGGCGGAUGAGUGUACCCGAAGAAAAAGCAUCGGCUAGCUCCGUGCCAGCAGCCGCGGUAAUACGGAGGAUGCGAGCGUUAUCCGGAUUUAUUGGGUUUAAAGGGUGCGCAGGCGGGAGAUCAAGUCAGCGGUAAAAUGUCGGGGCUCAACCCCGGC
rnacentral:rRNA from 1 species